UGUUAGCGGCGGACGGGUGAGUAACACGUGGGUAACCUGCCUGUAAGACUGGGAUAACUCCGGGAAACCGGAGCUAAUACCGGAUAGUUCCUUGAACCGCAUGGUUCAAGGAUGAAAGACGGUUUCGGCUGUCACUUACAGAUGGACCCGCGGCGCAUUAGCUAGUUGGUGGGGUAAUGGCUCACCAAGGCGACGAUGCGUAGCCGACCUGAGAGGGUGAUCGGCCACACUGGGACUGAGACACGGCCCAGACUCCUACGGGAGGCAGCAGUAGGGAAUCUUCCGCAAUGGACGAAAGUCUGACGGAGCAACGCCGCGUGAGUGAUGAAGGUUUUCGGAUCGUAAAGCUCUGUUGUUAGGGAAGAACAAGUGCGAGAGUAACUGCUCGCACCUUGACGGUACCUAACCAGAAAGCCACGGCUAACUACGUGCCAGCAGCCGCGGUAAUACGUAGGUGGCAAGCGUUGUCCGGAAUUAUUGGGCGUAAAGGGCUCGCAGGCGGUUUCUUAAGUCUGAUGUGAAAGCCCCCGGCUCAACCGGGGAGGGUCAUUGGAAACUGGGAAACUUGAGUGCAGAAGAGGAGAGUGGAAUUCCACGUGUAGCGGUGAAAUGCGUAGAGAUGUGGAGGAACACCAGUGGCGAAGGCGACUCUCUGGUCUGUAACUGACGCUGAGGAGCGAAAGCGUGGGGAGCGAACAGGAUUAGAUACCCUGGUAGUCCACGCCGUAAACGAUGAGUGCUAAGUGUUAGGGGGUUUCCGCCCCUUAGUGCUGCAGCUAACGCAUUAAGCACUCCGCCUGGGGAGUACGGUCGCAAGACUGAAACUCAAAGGAAUUGACGGGGGCCCGCACAAGCGGUGGAGCAUGUGGUUUAAUUCGAAGCAACGCGAAGAACCUUACCAGGUCUUGACAUCCUCUGACAACCCUAGAGAUAGGGCUUUCCCUUCGGGGACAGAGUGACAGGUGGUGCAUGGUUGUCGUCAGCUCGUGUCGUGAGAUGUUGGGUUAAGUCCCGCAACGAGCGCAACCCUUGAUCUUAGUUGCCAGCAUUCAGUUGGGCACUCUAAGGUGACUGCCGGUGACAAACCGGAGGAAGGUGGGGAUGACGUCAAAUCAUCAUGCCCCUUAUGACCUGGGCUACACACGUGCUACAAUGGACAGAACAAAGGGCUGCAAGACCGCAAGGUUUAGCCAAUCCCAUAAAUCUGUUCUCAGUUCGGAUCGCAGUCUGCAACUCGACUGCGUGAAGCUGGAAUCGCUAGUAAUCGCGGAUCAGCAUUU
rnacentral:rRNA from 1 species